rnacentral:rRNA from 1 species
GCGCAGCUUACACAUGCAAGUCGAACGCAUCGCAAGAUGAGUGGCAGACGGGUGAGUAACGCGUGGGAACAUACCCUUUCCUGCGGAAUAGCUCCGGGAAACUGGAAUUAAUACCGCAUACGCCCUACGGGGGAAAGAUUUAUCGGGGAAGGAUUGGCCCGCGUUGGAUUAGCUAGUUGGUGGGGUAAAGGCCUACCAAGGCGACGAUCCAUAGCUGGUCUGAGAGGAUGAUCAGCCACAUUGGGACUGAGACACGGCCCAAACUCCUACGGGAGGCAGCAGUGGGGAAUAUUGGACAAUGGGCGCAAGCCUGAGCCAGCCCUGCCGCGAGAGUGAUGAAGGCCUUUAGGCUGUAAAGCUCUUUCACCGAUGAAGAUAAUGACUGUGGUCCUUUACCACA